GGGGAUUGGAUUUUUUUUAAGAAUUUAAUUGGUUUUAGUUAGUGCUUUUAAAAUGGGAUAUUGGGAUAGGUCAGUGAAAGAGUAAACUAAUCGUUUGAAGACUGGAAUCCGUUGAAUCAAUUUGAUUCACAUAAAAUAAUUUAAAAAAAUGCAUGUAUAAAAAAUAAAUUGAAAAACUGGACUUACACUAUACCAAAUCAGUUUCUUGUUAGAUUUUCA
rnacentral:misc_RNA from 1 species